GAGUUUGAUCUUGGCUCAGAUUGAACGCUGGCGGCAUGCCUUACACAUGCAAGUCGAACGGCAGCACGGGAGCUUGCUCCUGGUGGCGAGUGGCGAACGGGUGAGUAAUGCAUCGGAACGUAUCCUGGAGUGGGGGAUAACGUAGCGGAAGUUACGCUAAUACCGCAUAUUCUGUGAGCAGGAAAGCGGGGGACCUUCGGGCCUCGCGCUCUUGGAGCGGCCGAUGUCGGAUUAGCUAGUUGGUGAGGUAAAGGCUCACCAAGGCGACGAUCCGUAGCAGGUCUGAGAGGAUGAUCUGCCACACUGGAACUGAGACACGGUCCAGACUCCUACGGGAGGCAGCAGUGGGAAUUUUGGCCAAUGGGGGCAACCCUGAUCCAGCCAUGCCGCGUGAGUGAAGAAGGCC
rnacentral:rRNA from 1 species